UCAUGUCUCUCACUCUGUAGCUCAUUUUUGAAUAAUAUUUACAUGUAUGGAAAGCUAACGAAAUUACCCUUGUUUGCAUUUCAAUUUUGUCGAAUUUGGAGUUACGAUGUGUUUGGUAGACGAUGUUGAAUUUGAAGGUCAUAAGUAGAUUUCUGCAGAAUUAGUAAUUGGACAGACCUUCACUAAAAUGGUAAUUAAUCUCCCUCUAUAACUCCAAAUUUAGUGGGGUUUGUUUCUGUGGAAAUCUAACUCGAUUACGGUCGUUUCGGUAUCAAUUUUGUGAAUUAUUGAUCCAAAUUGAGUUAUGUGCGAAGCUUUGAACUUGAGGCUCAGAAGCAGAUUUUGUGCAGAAUUUUGGUGGGGGCAAAAUCCAACAAAUUAUAAAAUAGGGGGGGUAAAUUUCCGCAUUUUAAAAUAGGGAGGUAAAAUUCCGCAUUUUUCAAAACAGAUGAGGUAAAACUGCAUUUAAGCCAAAAAAAAAUGCAUACAUACAUACAUGCUUUUUUUUAUCAAAUGAGAUUUGGUUGUUUGAAAAUUACAGUACGUAUCAAAUAGCGUAAUUUCUACUUACUUUUCUCUCUCUCUCUCUCUCAAAGUUUCUUCUCACACAACGGAGAAAUUGUAACAAAAGAAAAACAGAGGGUGGUGAAAUACUAUAUAAGUGUUAUUUCUUAAAAAAGAAAAAGAAACUAUGGAAGUGUUGUUUCUUAUAAACCAAGCAACCUAUGUGUGUGGAAUACUGGAAUAUUUGUUUUUGUAAAUGAAGUAGAAAUAUAAUAACCCCCGCUGUACUAGUAUUCUUUAAUUGUUACUUAAUGGUAUUGGUAUGUGAUGGCGUAGAAUUAUUUUUCAUGCUUUUGUGAGGAUUAAGCUAACAAAUUGACUUUCUUCAACAACAAAAAAAUUAAAUAUUUCGGUACACAUAUUAUAUGGAUAUGUAUUGUAUACUGCUUAGGUGGAUAAUUGUGCUUAAUCCACAAAUAUAUUUAAUAUAAGAAAAUUAAUAAUUACUAUUUAUAAAUUAAUCAAAAUUAUAAACCUUAACAAAUAUACAUGUAUAUCCAUUAUGCCAAAGCAUUCAGAAACUAAAAAAUUGACUGUUGAAUUGGACCCCUAGCACGUGGAAUUGAGAAGUGGUGCAUAUUCUUUUAUGGUUUUGCAAGUAUGUGCAUGUCACACGGAAAUUAGAGGACAACUAUUUAUUUGGAUUGGCCAACGCAUUCCAACUCAUGUCCCAUAUGAUGCAUAUGUAUUUUGUGGUACUAUAUAUGACAAUGUCCACAAAUGCAUUCCAACUAUUUAUUUGGAGUCUCUAUCUCUUGGUUGGAAAUUGUCUUGUAAGUUAGGGUGUGUUUGAUUUGAUAGCUACAUUAGUUAGAACUUAGAAUUGGAGGAGACUUAAUUUAGAGGAUUAAAUCUAUAUUUUGAUGUAUAUUUGAGAUUUUUUAAAAACUUAAGGAGUGACAUAGUAAAUAAUCAUAUAAUAUUUCAAGCACC
rnacentral:lncRNA from 1 species